rnacentral:tRNA from 1 species
GGGGGUAUAGCUCAGUGGUAGAGCGCUUUUUCGGCCUGGAAGAGGACUGGGGUUCAAUUCCCCAUUGGGGUUCAAUUCCCCAUACCUAUA